GGCUGACACCUGUAAUCCCAGCACUUUGGGAAGCUGAGGCAGGCAGAUCACAAGGUCAGGAGUUUGAGACCAGCCUGGCCAACAUGGUGAAACCCCUUAAAAAAAUACAAAAAUUAGCCGGAUGUGGUGGCAUGCGCCUGUAAUCCCAGCUACUCAGGAGGCUGAGGCAGGAGAAUCACUUGAACUUGGGAGGCUGAGGUUGCCAUGAGCUGAGACCUCACCAUUGCACUCCAGCCUUGGGCAACAGAGAGCGACUCCGUCUCAAAAAAUAGAAAGAAAAGAAAAGAGAAAUACGGAGAACAUGGAGCGCCUGAGUGUCAAAACAUCAUGCAUGGGCAGUGUCUGUCAGGGAGGUUGCCAGAGAGCUCGGGGUUGGUUGGCCCAUCCAUCCUGCUUCCUGCUUCCUUCUCCUGCCUCCAAGCUCCCUGAACCUACUCUAUGCAAAGCACUGUGCCAGGUGUUGGCCCAGAGUGUGGGACUGGAGCAGUGGCCUGGGUAGGGGACAAGGGUUUUUUGACCAGCUGGAGACCUUUGUGGCUGGUGUCAUUCUGGAGGUGAAGAAAAAGCCGCUGGAAAGAGCUGCCCAGGGAGGACUAUGGGAGAACUUGCAGCUCUGGGCCAUCUCUGGACAUGAACAUUUUGCAUACACACAGGGGAGCUGUGUGCGUGUGAGUGGGGCCAGGAGGGGUCCUUCUCUCUCUUUUGGCCCGUGCAGCUGGGCUUCUGGAGCUUUCCUAUGUCUUGCUUUAGUGCUAGUCCUUGGAGGGUUGCCAGGGAAACCGCUGGCCAGCUCCGGGAGCGAGACGAAGCAGAGGGGAGGAGAGUGGGUGACUCAGGCUGGCUUCCCACACACCGCAACCCCCUCCCCAUCACGUGGAAAGGAUCUGGGGGACCCCCUUUCCCUGGAUCCUACAGGUGGCCCUGUUUAUUCUUUCUUCUCUGGAGAGAGCAGUCCCUCCCGCAGCUCUGACUGGUGGGAGCCAGCCAGAUUUCUCCAGGAAGGGAACCGGCCCCAGGCGCCCCGUACCCUGUAGGUUCACCCUGGAACACAGGUGCAUUCGGCCUGGGUGAAUGUGAACUCCUGCCGUGCCCAUGCAGGCGGCAGGAGCCCUGGCUGAGACGCCCUCCCGGGGGCAAACCCAGGAUAAUUAUUGAUCGGGACCGCUGUGGACUUCUGACUUCGGCCUGGGAGGGAGAGGACCCGGAACGCGGGCCUGGGCUCCCGGGGAGGGAGGUGGGCGGGCCGCGGAGGGGGCCAAUCAACACGACCACGACAGUGCGCCCUAGCCCUGCCACUGGUGGUCGACUCAACCCAAACAAAGCAGCAUGUGCUUGCGGUGCGGGGUCGGCUAGGGAGCCGAGCCGGGAAGACACCCCACCGUCGCAGAAAGGGGGUGCGCGCGGCGCCGGCACCGCCCCGCCGAGAGCGCCGCCACCUCGGGUGCGCCGAGGGGGUCCGGGUCCCUCAGGAGCGGCCGCGGAGGGGGCAGCGAGAGACCGAGAGGGACCGAGGGCUGGCGAGCGCGCGCCGGGCGGAACCAGGAAGCGGGGCGCGCUCCGGGCUGCCAGCGGCGCGCGUACCCGGGCCUCCGCGCGUGAGCGGCGCGCGCGCCCCCGCGGGCCCCGGCGGGAGGAGAGUCGGCGGCCGGAGCCGUCACCCCGGGCGGGGACCCAGCGCAGGCGACUCCGCGCGGCGGCCCGGCCGAGGGAGGGAGCGGGCGGGCGGGCCAGCCAGACAGCGGGGCCGGAGCAGCCGCGGGCGCCCGAGGGGCCGAGCGAGUUGAAGAACUCACAGAGAUGGAAAAAAAAGAAGAAAGAAAGAGGUUCAGUGUCUCUCAGACUGAUGCCGUAA
rnacentral:lncRNA from 1 species